GGUGAAUGCUGGCGGCGUGGAUAAGUCAUGCAAGUCAAGGGGGCCCGCAAGGGCAACCGGCAAACGAGGUAGUAACACGUAGGUAGUCCCCCCAGAGUCGGGCAUAGCCAGCCGAAAGGUUGGGUAAUUCCCGAUAGUCCCGAAAGGGUAAAGGUUUUUCGCUCUGGGAGUUGCCUGCGUAGUAUCAGCUAGUUGGUAGGGUAAUGGCCUACCAAGGCUACGACGCUUAGGGGAGCUGAGAGGCUGACCCCCACCGAUGGAACUGCGACACGGUCCAUACUCCUACGGGAGGCUGCAGACGAGAAUAUUCCGCAAUGGGCGAAAGCCUGACGGAGCGACGCCGCGUGAUUGAUGAAGUGCUUCGGUACGUAAAGAUCUUUUAUCGGGGGACGAAGUUUAUUGACGGUACCCGAUGAAUAAGGGGCUCCUAACUCUGUGCCAGCAGCCGCGGUAAU
rnacentral:rRNA from 1 species